AUUGAACGCUGGCGGCAUGCCUUGCACAUGCAAGUCGAACGGUAACGGGCCUUCGGGUGCCGACGAGUGGCGCACGGGUGCGUAAUACAUCGGAACGUGCCCGAUCGUGGGGGAUAACGAGGCGAAAGCUUUGCUAAUACCGCAUACGAUCUACGGAUGAAAGCAGGGGACCGCAAGGCCUUGCGCGGACGGAGCGGCCGAUGGCAGAUUAGGUAGUUGGUGGGAUAAAAGCUUACCAAGCCGACGAUCUGUAGCUGGUCUGAGAGGAUGAUCAGCCACACUGGGACUGAGACACGGCCCAGACUCCUACGGGAGGCAGCAGUGGGGAAUUUUGGACAAUGGGCGCAAGCCUGAUCCAGCCAUGCCGCGUGCAGGAUGAAGGCCUUCGGGUUGUAAACUGCUUUUGUACGGAACGAAAAGCCUUCUUUUAAUACAGGAGGGUCAUGACGGUACCGGAAGAAUAAGCACCGGCUAACUACGUG
rnacentral:rRNA from 1 species